UUAAGCGACUAAGCGUACACGGUGGAUGCCUAGGCAGUCAGAGGCGAUGAAGGGCGUGCUAAUCUGCGAAAAGCGUCGGUAAGCUGAUAUGAAGCGUUAUAACCGACGAUACCCGAAUGGGGAAACCCAGUGCAAUACGUUGCACUAUCGUUAGAUGAAUACAUAGUCUAACGAGGCGAACCGGGGGAACUGAAACAUCUAAGUACCCCGAGGAAAAGAAAUCAACCGAGAUUCCCCCAGUAGCGGCGAGCGAACGGGGAGGAGCCCAGAGUCUGAAUCAGUUUGUGUGUUAGUGGAAGCGUCUGGAAAGUCGCACGGUACAGGGUGAUAGUCCCGUACACCAAAAUGCACAGGCUGUGAACUCGAUGAGUAGGGCGGGACACGUGACAUCCUGUCUGAAUAUGGGGGACCAUCCUCCAAGGCUAAAUACUCCUGACUGACCGAUAGUGAACCAGUACCGUGAGGGAAAGGCGAAAAGAACCCCGGCGAGGGGAGUGAAAUAGAACCUGAAACCGUGUACGUACAAGCAGUGGGAGCACCUUCGUGGUGUGACUGCGUACCUUUUGUAUAAUGGGUCAGCGACUUAUAUUUUGUAGCAAGGUUAACCGAAUAGGGGAGCCGUAGGGAAACCGAGUCUUAACUGGGCGUCUAGUUGCAAGGUAUAGACCCGAAACCCGGUGAUCUAGCCAUGGGCAGGUUGAAGGUUGGGUAACACUAACUGGAGGACCGAACCGACUAAUGUUGAAAAAUUAGCGGAUGACUUGUGGCUGGGGGUGAAAGGCCAAUCAAACCGGGAGAUAGCUGGUUCUCCCCGAAAGCUAUUUAGGUAGCGCCUCGUGAACUCAUCUUCGGGGGUAGAGCACUGUUUCGGCUAGGGGGCCAUCCCGGCUUACCAAACCGAUGCAAACUCCGAAUACCGAAGAAUGUUAUCACGGGAGACACACGGCGGGUGCUAACGUCCGUCGUGAAGAGGGAAACAACCCAGACCGCCAGCUAAGGUCCCAAAGUCAUGGUUAAGUGGGAAACGAUGUGGGAAGGCACAGACAGCCAGGAUGUUGGCUUAGAAGCAGCCAUCAUUUAAAGAAAGCGUAAUAGCUCACUGGUCGAGUCGGCCUGCGCGGAAGAUGUAACGGGGCUAAACCAUGCACCGAAGCUGCGGCAGCGACACUUAGGUGUUGUUGGGUAGGGGAGCGUUCUGUAAGCCGUUGAAGGUGACCUGUGAGGGUUGCUGGAGGUAUCAGAAGUGCGAAUGCUGACAUAAGUAACGAUAAUGCGGGUGAAAAACCCGCACGCCGGAAGACCAAGGGUUCCUGUCCAACGUUAAUCGGGGCAGGGUGAGUCGACCCCUAAGGCGAGGCUGAAAAGCGUAGUCGAUGGGAAACAGGUUAAUAUUCCUGUACUUGGUGUUACUGCGAAGGGGGGACGGAGAAGGCUAGGCUGGCCGGGCGACGGUUGUCCCGGUUUAAGCGUGUAGGGGGAGUGACCAGGUAAAUCCGGUUGCUUAUCAACCCUGAGGCGUGAUGACGAUGCACCACGGUGCAGAAGCAGUUGAUGCCAUGCUUCCAGGAAAAGCCUCUAAGCAUCAGGUAACAUUAAAUCGUACCCCAAACCGACACAGGUGGUCAGGUAGAGAAUACUCAGGCGCUUGAGAGAACUCGGGUGAAGGAACUAGGCAAAAUGGUGCCGUAACUUCGGGAGAAGGCACGCUGGCGUUAGGUGAAAGGACUAGCUCCUGGAGCUGAAGCCAGUCGCAGAUACCAGCUGGCUGCAACUGUUUAAUAAAAACACAGCACUGUGCAAACACGAAAGUGGACGUAUACGGUGUGACGCCUGCCCGGUGCUGGAAGGUUAAUUGAUGGGGUCAGCCGCAAGGCGAAGCUCUUGAUCGAAGCCCCAGUAAACGGCGGCCGUAACUAUAACGGUCCUAAGGUAGCGAAAUUCCUUGUCGGGUAAGUUCCGACCUGCACGAAUGGCGUAAUGAUGGCCAGGCUGUCUCCACCCGAGACUCAGUGAAAUUGAACUCGCUGUGAAGAUGCAGUGUACCCGCGGCAAGACGGAAAGACCCCGUGAACCUUUACUAUAGCUUGACACUGAACAUUGAGCCUUGAUGUGUAGGAUAGGUGGGAGGCCUUGAAGUGUGGACGCCAGUCUGCAUGGAGCCAACCUUGAAAUACCACCCUUUAAUGUUUGAUGUUCUAACUCGGCCCCAUGAUCUGGGGUGAGGACAGUGUCUGGUGGGUAGUUUGACUGGGGCGGUCUCCUCCCAAAGAGUAACGGAGGAGCACGAAGGUUAGCUAAUCACGGUCGGACAUCGUGAGGUUAGUGCAAAGGCAUAAGCUAGCUUGACUGCGAGAGUGACGGCUCGAGCAGGUACGAAAGUAGGUCUUAGUGAUCCGGUGGUUCUGAAUGGAAGGGCCAUCGCUCAACGGAUAAAAGGUACUCCGGGGAUAACAGGCUGAUACCGCCCAAGAGUUCAUAUCGACGGCGGUGUUUGGCACCUCGAUGUCGGCUCAUCACAUCCUGGGGCUGAAGUAGGUCCCAAGGGUAUGGCUGUUCGCCAUUUAAAGUGGUACGCGAGCUGGGUUUAGAACGUCGUGAGACAGUUCGGUCCCUAUCUGCCGUGGGCGUUGGAAGAUUGAGAGGGGCUGCUCCUAGUACGAGAGGACCGGAGUGGACGAAUCACUGGUGUUCGGGUUGUCAUGCCAAUGGCAUUGCCCGGUAGCUAAAUUCGGAAGAGAUAACCGCUGAAAGCAUCUAAGCGGGAAACUUGCCUCGAGAUGAGUCUUCCCUGGGGCUUAAAGCCCCCUGAAGGAACGUUAAAGACUAUGACGUUGAUAGGCUGGGUGUGUAAGUGCAGCGAUGUAUUGAGCUAACCAGUACUAAUGAUCCGUGAGGCUUAACCUU
rnacentral:rRNA from 1 species